CACGAAGUUGGAUUCGCUAGUAAUCGCGCAUCAGCCAUGGCGCGGUGAAUACGUUCCCGGGCCUUGUACACACCGCCCGUCAAGCCAUGGGAGCCGGGGGCGCCUGAAGUCCGGGACCGCGAGGACCGGCCUAGGGCGAAACUGGUGACUGGGGCUAAGUCGUAACAAGGUAGC
rnacentral:rRNA from 1 species